rnacentral:rRNA from 1 species
UACAGGGGGUGCAAACGUUGCUCGGAAUCAUUGGGCGUAAAGCGCACGUAGGCGGUUCGUUAUGUCGGAUGUGAAAGCCCUUGGCUUAACCGAGGAAGUGCAUCCGAAACUGGCGAGCUAGAGUACGAAAAGAGGAUCGCGGAAUUCCCGGUGUAGAGGUGAAAUUCGUAGAUAUCGGGAGGAACACCGGUGGCGAAGGCGGCGAUCUGGGGUCGAUACUGACGCUGAGGUGCGAAAAGCGUGGGGGAGCAAACAGG